UACAGAGGGGGCCAGCGUUAUUCGGAAUUAUUGGGCGUAAAGGGCGCGUAGGCGGCCAUGCGUGUCUUCCGUGAAAUCCCUCGGCUUAACUGAGGACGUGCGGAAGAAACUGCAAGGCUCGAGUCCGGGAGAGGGGGGUGGAAUUCCCAGUGUAGCGGUGAAAUGCGUAGAUAUUGGGAGGAACACCGGUGGCGAAGGUGGCCCCCUGGACCGGUACUGACGCUGAGGCGCGUAAGCGUGGGUAGCAAACGGG
rnacentral:rRNA from 1 species